rnacentral:tRNA from 1 species
UUCCUUGUGGUCCAGUGGGUAAGACUCUGCACUUCCACUGCAGGGGCGUGGGUUCAAUCCCUGUUUGGGGAA